rnacentral:lncRNA from 1 species
AAAGAAAUUGGCCAGCAUUCGAACACCACAUUCGAACGUCAUGAAAGCAUAAAAUUUGAUGAAAACUCGUUACAGGCGUAAGCAUUCGAACCCUCAUAUUAGCAUUCGAAUACUAAGAACAAUUUUGCCUUUAACGUUCGAACACCAAUACUAGCAUUCGAAUGCUAAGAAGGAUUCUGGGCAAAAAACUUAAUUCUGAGGUUCUGAAGAGUUCUAACUCUAAAUUGGUCACUUGGCUCUUAAACUUCCAACAAUUCACACUAAUUAUCGUACACGUCAUAGUUUACGUAAUUAAGGGAAAUUGACGGGUCUGGGACAUUACAAAAUUCAUCAAAUACUGCAUGAACGGAUUCUUAAACUAUCAAAGUUCGUUUAUUAAAUACUCAAAAUGUUUUGUUUGUAGUUGAAUAACCCAAGAAAAUAGAUUUGUCUAAUUUUGAAUCAAAUUUCCCUAAGUUAUCUUUGUCAUUGUUCAAUACAUAGCAUUUGAAACCAAAAGUAUGAAAGAAACCUAUAUUCGGUUUUCUUUUUUUUCAUAGUUCAUACGGGUUUUUAUUUAGUAUUGGUCUAACCAUGGCUCAGUUUAUAAUAAAAUAUACGGUGUUCACCAUUUCAGUCCAAAAAUACUUUGGAAGAGAAUUUUCACAAAACAUGAUUCUCGCCAUUUCUUCUAAGAUUCUAUUUUUUCUCUCUACAAUUCUAUUUUGUUGAGAGAUUCUAGGGGCCGAGAAAUUAUACCCUAUUCCUAGUUCAUCACAAUAUUGAGUAAAAGACUCAUUUUCAAGUUCUCCACUAUGGUCGGUUCUGAUAUUUAAAAUAGUGAGUCAUUUGUCAUUUUGAAUUAGUCAGAAGAGGGGGGGAAAGGAGGGCCUACCCCUUCUAGUAGUCCCCGGAUGCCUCGCGCCUUAGUCUCCGACGGGCGUCGGGGGUCCCGAGGGGGGGGGGGUUGAGGUUUUGAGGAAAACGCUUUAUUUUUAUGAGUUAAAAAUAUUACCCAUGUAAAAUCGGUGAAAAAUCAUCUUUCUACAAUUACAAGAAUGUAUUAUUUUCUUCAGACUAAUUGUUUCAGAUGAUAGCCUAUUAAAUCCAUAUGUAGAAAGGUGAUGUGGCUAGAGUGGAACAACAAUAUUCUUUGAUUUAAAGGAUAUUUAGGUGUUUCUUUCUUGACAUGCCUCCACAAAUCUAUCUUUUUCAAAAGAUAUUUUUGGUACCUAAUAACAAAAUCCUUUUUAACAAGUUUGAGAUGAGGGUUAUGUCAGUAUGUUCAAUGUUUUAUGCCAUAACAACCAUUGUAUUCAUAGCCGCAAGACAAGUUUCCAUUAGUUGGUGCAUCAUAAAUUGUAAAAUAUAGACAUUUUCAAAUCUUUGACCAACAAAUAAUAUUUUGUUGUCUUUGAUGCAUUCUAUAGUGCAAAUGGCAUUAUCAAAUAUAACUCUAUUUUCUCUAUCACAUAGUUGACUUAUGCUAAGUAAAUUAUAUUUCAAUCCAUCAACAAGCAAAAUAUUUUCUAUAAUAAGAGAGGGUUCCUUACCAACAUUAUCUAUUCUGAUGAUCUUGCCUUUAUUAUUAUCUCUAAAAGUUACAUACCAUCCAUCCUUUGAAGAUAGAGAUGCGAACAUAGAUUUGUCUUCAAUCAUGUGUCGCGAGCACCCGUUAUCCAAGUACCACCUUCCCUUCCUUGAUGUUGCAUUUAAGCAUACCUAUAUAGAGGUUUUUAAACAUUGGUUUUUGGUACCCAAAUCUGUUAAAUCCUUGAAUGUUAGUGAUAAUUUUCUAGAGACCCACUUUAUUUUUAGUCUCUUCCUAACACAUCUUUAAUAGCAUGAAUGUAUAGUAUAACCUUUGGUAUUACAAAAGAAAUGGAGUUUUUGAGUGUGAGGAUAAGAUAUUUUUACAAAGAUAUUUUGUCUAAUUUUUAUUUUUUUUGAAGUAAUUAUAUCUGAUUCCACACUAUCAUUACACAUCUUGAGAUCCAAGUAGAAAUCGAAAUUCUUUUGCCCUUCGACGAAUUUUUCAACGCCAAUAAUUAAUUAAGAUGUUGCAGUUAAGCUCAUCCAUUUUUAAUUUUAAUUCAUUGACAUGCGGUAUUUUGGUGACUUAUCAACUUCAAAGUGAGUGAAGCACUUGUUUUCUUAGCAUGUCAAUUUUUGCUUGUCAUUUUCAAUGAAUUCUUCAUAUAAUUCAUCAGAGACAUUUUGACUUAAUUCAUCAAUGAGUUAAAUCGUAAUGUACUCAUUAUUUUCUCUGUUUUUCCAGAGACAUAGAUUUGCCACUUUUUAAUUGCCUGAAGCAUCAUCGAUGUAUCAAUAUCGCUUUACCCAAGUCGCAAAUGCUUUUUGACUUUUAAUUUUUCUUUGAACAUUUCUUAGUUUCGGACAAUCAACUUUUAUAUGUCCUGACUUUUUGCACUCGAAUCAUAUAAUUGGCUCCUUCUUUAAUUUUUCAUCUGUACUGAAAUUCCUUCUAUCUUGUCUUUGAGGAAAUUGGCUCUUCUUGAAUAUUUUGUUGAAUCGUCUAGUGAACAAAGCCAUUUUCUCAUCACUUUCUUCAUCAUCGUAUAUGGCUUCAUGUUAAGUGAUUGAUGAAGUCUUUAACACAAUUUUCUUUUUCUUUUGCUUUCAUCGAUCUGCUAAUACUUUCAAUUUGUAAGCUAAUGUGUCAUCGAGAUCAGAGCAUUUCAUAAAGAAAAAACCUAUCCUUGUGAGGUCUUUUAUUCUUCCUAUUGACGAUCCACUUUUGUUCCCCACAAUUUCUUAGUAAACAAGCGCUGAGAAAUCUUUAUCACCAUGUUUCAUAUUCGAUAUACCUUACUAGAUAUUCAAUCCAUUUAUUACAUGGGUGAACAUAUAAACAUCUAGAAAUUAUUUCAUUUGAUUCCAUUGCUAAAAAAUUCGUAUUUCUGUCAAUAGGAUAUUAUUGUUGAUCAUUACUUGGUUGACUCCUUAGUGGGUGAUUCUAAUUUAUUCCCAAAUUUCUGUAGUUGUCUCGUAUCCCAAAAAAUUCUAUAGAAUUCAUUUCCAUCUAGUGCGCAAUAUAAGUGUGAAGGCUGUUAGCAUUAUUUUGUACAUCAUUUGUAUACAAAGUGUACAUUCAUCUUGCGGUUUUAAAAUUUCUCCUUUUACCAUUAUUUUUGUUGGUAUGAUAGGCCAAUUUCUAUGAUGUUCCAACAUCAUAAUCGUUUGCUUGAAAAAAUAUCCUCAUUCUAGCUUUUCAAUAGUUAUAAUUGCUACCGGAAAAAUGUGGGGGUCUAGUAAUCAAUUGACCUUUGACCAUGUAUGUUCUUAUGAUAUUGGCCAUGGAUCUUUAAUUUUUAGAUUGUUAAAUUUGAAAAAUAUAGAAUCUUGCUUGAUACCAAUUGUUAGCUAGAAAGCAAACUAAGAGGGGUGUGGAAUAGGUUUGCUUAGGAUUAAUGACCAAUUAAAUGUUUUUAAAAACUUAUACAAAUAAUGCACUCCUAAGUAUAGCAAGUAUAUAAGCAAUUUAAAAGAGACGAGAGGAAAGAUUGCAAACAAUUUAUAGUGGUUUGGCAAAUCAUGGCCUACGUCCACUCUCCAAGAUUCUUCUUGAAAAUUCAUUAUCUUAAAGCUUGUGGGUGCUUGACAACCUUUACAAACACUAGAACUUUUUCUAAUCUUCAACAGACUUCCUAACAAACUUCCUCUCUUGGUAUCUCAUAAUCACUUAAGAAUGAUCUUUUCAAUAAAGUACAAUAUAUGAGUAACUCUUGGUUCACCAACUCUAGAUCAAAUAAUAAGUCCAAUGAAGCUCUCUUGUCUAGAGUGAUCAAGCUCAAAAUGAAUGAUCAAGUGAUUGAAGUUAUGAAUACAAGUGAAUGUAUAAAUUAAAAGCAUUUUAAUAUCAUCCAAACAACCCCAAGGAUUGUAUUUACAAGCCAAAAGUUGAUUACAGUCGUUGUAGCAUUAAAUGGAUUUGAUCUAGCCAUUCUGAUGUAAUCCCAGCUAUUGGAUCUUGAUCUGGACAUGCAGGAUUAACUUUUUUAAAGUUCGGUCGACAACUUUGGUCAUGGUUGAACUAAAAUUCCAGUGGCUUGCAUUCUUUAUCUGCUUAGAGGUUUUGAACUUCGAUCGUGGCUACUUUGUCGACUGAACUUGACUUCAUCGUAUUGCUCUUCAAAACCAGAAAACAAAUUGAUUGCUCUGUUUCUUUUAGUCCUCUUUUUCAUUUUUGUUGUGGCUUCUAUAACUUUAAUCAGCUGAAUGUAAACUUUUUUCAUAUCUGUACUAAUAUUCCAGUAAGCCAAUCUAUUAAGAGUUUUAUAUUGCUUGGCAUUCAGCUGCCCUUUAUACAUUAUCGGUUGUGGCUUCCUACUUUUGGUCAACCGAAUGUGAAGUUCGAUCGUUCCCGAACUUUAAUUCUAGUAAGCAAUUCUAUAAAAAAUUCUUGAGCUUACAUACUUCGGCUGAUGGUCUAGAACUUCGGUCGACAAGUUUGGUUGACUGAACUUGUGACAACAAGAAGUUUUGUGUUGUUUCUUUGUUAGUUCAUGUCAUCAACUAUCUACAUUGAGUUUGAGUGUUGUUUUAACUUCUGUAUCACUUUUGUAUGAACAAUUACAUCGAUUAUGACUUGUGAAGAGUUUCAAACCUCACUUUGAUUGAGAAUUAGUUUAUCUUUAAGACCACUAUUAUUUUCCUUUAGAAUUGUGAACUGUUUGACUUAGAUCUUGCAAUUCUAAUUUAUUUUAUCAAUUUAUACAAGUGUUUUUCAUCUUAAAACAAUCUUGUUAAUGACCAUGUUGAUUUUAACACGUAUAAAUUCAUUUUUCCUUUUUUAGUACGAUUUUCAUCAAAAACUCAUAUUAAACUUAGCUUAAUCAUCAAAACCAAUUAUCUUUUAUUUCAACACUAAAUACUUGCACAAAUCCUAAUUCUUUAUUAACAAAUUGUUUUUUCAUCACUCAAUCCACUUUAAUUUAUUUUUGCAUGAGAAUUCUAGAAAAAGAGGAAAUUAACCAAAUGAAGCCUGAGAGAAAAUUUACAAACAAACAAAUAUAUAUAAAUACUUAUGCAAAUUCUCUUACAUAAACACACUACUAUGUAAUUUAUCAUAAAUUCUAUAAAUUCUAUAAUUUUGACCCCACUAAACAUAAAUUCUAACAAUUUUGACCCCACAAAAAAUUAAUAAUUUGCCUUAAAUUCUACAAAAUUAUGGGGUUUGAUAUUGAUCUUAUCCAUGGAGGGUCCAACGGAUAGCUCACCUUUCCCAUAGGCGAGGUGAUAGUGUAAGGUGAUCAGAACUUUAGGAGAGUCAAAGCGAGCUCAACACGGAUCAUAGGAGGAGUUGGCGACAUGAUCUCUUUAGGCGAGGUGUUCACCUUGGUCUAAUUAGCAGGUGGGGAAAGUAUAAAAUUUGGUCUCAUGAUCUCUUUAGGUGAGAUGUUCACCUUAGUCCAAUUAGAAGGUGUUCACUUAGAAGAGUUCAUUAAGUGGCCUGAAAAAAUCAAGACUGACCCCGAAAGAGAAACAAAAAUAAGUACUGUGAGUUCCACCAAGACCACGGCCAUAACACUGACGAUUGUUUUUAGUUGAAGGAGCAGAUAGCUGACUUAAACAAGAGAGAAUAUUUGAGAAAGUAUGUUGUUGAUCGUCCGCAGCGUGACUCACUAUAAAGAAGGCAUGGCAACAACAGACCUACUGUAGAGGAUAUACAAGUAAUCCAUAGUGGAUUUGGAUUAGGAGGAUGCUCAAGUUCGUCUCGUAAGAGACACGCUAUGAGUGCUAGUAGGCGAGCUGAAAAAGAGGUUUAUAAUCU